rnacentral:lncRNA from 1 species
GGAGAGCUUGUGUGUCCUACUCCUAUGUCCAUUGAUACUCAUUGAAGCUUGUAUUUUCAAGGGUGUAGUUUCUUCCAACAAGUUGUUUGGAAGAUUUUGUGUUGGAGUUGGCUUGUUCAUGUUCAUGAGGUAACCCUUGUAUUUCUUCUCCUUUUUGGAUUGUGUUGGCUCAAGUGAUAUAUGUUGAUACUUAAGUAGAAAUCACUAUAAUUUGUUUAUUAUAGUGGAAGUUUGAUCGGAG